rnacentral:rRNA from 1 species
UACGUAGGGUGCGAGCGUUGUCCGGAAUUAUUGGGCGUAAAGGGUGCGUAGGCGGCGGAGUAAGUUGGGUGUGAAAUCCCGGGGCUUAACCUCGGAAUGGCAUUCAAUACUGCUUCGCUAGAGUACUGGAGAGGAGGCUGGAAUUUACGGUGUAGCAGUGAAAUGCGUAGAUAUCGUAAGGAAGGCCGGUGGCGAAAGCGAGCCUCUGGACAGUUACUGACGCUGAUGCACGAAGGCCAGGGGAGCAAACGGG